UGUCAAACGUCAGAGAGAAGAAACGUUUAAUAAAAGAAACACAAAAACAAUGUCCGCUCUAGCUGGUUAUCAGUUAACACUUAAUUGAAAGAUCCAACAAACAAAGGCAAAUAUAUUUGAUACUCACGUAAUAUUCUCCUCUCCAAAUGUAUAACUCGUUUCAGUCUUCACCCAAAAAAGCCACCACCACACAAAACAACAGACGAAAUCCCCAAGGUGAUAAUGGACGUCAGUCCAACUUCUACAAUGAGGAGAAGGAAGAGCUCUUGACAUUCGUUUUACCUGGUCUAUGGCAUCUGUUAUUCUAGACGUUUUAGCACCCGGGCAACAGCACUUGGACAGUGGAUUGCUGAUAGGAAAAAUACGAGUUGGUAACAGCAAAUGAUAAGUCAAUCACAAAAU